UAGGGAAUCUUCGGCAAUGGACGGAAGUCUGACCGAGCAACGCCGCGUGAGUGAAGAAGGUUUUCAGAUCGUAAAGCUCUGUUGUAAGAGAAGAACGAGUGUGAGAGUGGAAAGUUCACACUGUGACGGUAUCUUACCAGAAAGGGACGGCUAACUACGUGCCAGCAGCCGCGGUAAUACGUAGGUCCCGAGCGUUGUCCGGAUUUAUUGGGCGUAAAGCGAGCGCAGGCGGUUAGAUAAGUCUGAAGUUAAAGGCUGUGGCUUAACCAUAGUACGCUUUGGAAACUGUUUAACUUGAGUGCAAGAGGGGAGAGUGGAAUUCCAUGUGUAGCGGUGAAAUGCGUAGAUAUAUGGAGGAACACCGGUGGCGAAAGCGGCUCUCUGGCUUGUAACUGACGCUGAGGCUCGAAAGCGUGGGGAGCAAACAGGAUUAGAUACCCUGGUAGUCCACGCCGUAAACGAUGAGUGCUAGGUGUUAGACCCUUUCCGGGGUUUAGUGCCGCAGCUAACGCAUUAAGCACUCCGCCUGGGGAGUACGACCGCAAGGUUG
rnacentral:rRNA from 1 species